rnacentral:lncRNA from 1 species
CUUCGCCCAGGAGGGGCUGCGGUGGCUGCGGCAGGACCGGAGCGCCCUCAGCUGGAUGGAGCUGGCCUGCGUCUUCUACUGGUGAGCCUUCGUCACCUUCAUCCUCAUCUUCAUCCUCAUCUUCAUCCUCAUCUUCAUCUUUAUCUUUGUCUUUGUCUUUAUCUGCAUCUUCUACUGGUGAGCCUUCAUCACCUUCGUCCUCAUCUUCAUCCUCAUCUUCAUCCUCAUCUUCAUCUUUGUCUGUGUCUGCGUCUUCUACUGGUGAGCCUUCGUCACCUUCAUCCUCAUCUUCAUCCUCCUCUUCAUCCUCAUCUUCAUCCUCAUCUUCAUCUUCAUCUUCAUCUUUGUCUUUGUCUUUAUCUGCAUCUUCUACUGGUGAGCCUUCGUCUUCAUCCUCAUCAUCCUCAUCUUCAUCCUCAUCUUCAUCUUUGUCUGUGUCUGCGUCUUCUACUGGUGAGCCUUCGUCACCUUCAUCCUCAUCUUCAUCCUCAUCUUCAUCCUCAUCUUCAUAGUCAUCUUCAUCCUCAUCUUCAUCCUCAUCUUCAUCCUCAUCUUCAUAGUCAUCUUCAUCCUCAUCUUCAUCCUCAUCUUCAUCUUCAUCUUUGUCUGCGUCUUCUACUGGUGAGCCUUCAUCAUCCUCAUCAUCCUCAUCUUCAUCCUGACCUUCAUCCUCAUCUUUGUCUUUGUCUGCGUCUUCUACUGGUGAGCCUUCAUCCUCAUCCUCAUCAUCCUCAUCUUCAUCUUCAUCCUCAUCUUCAUCCUCGUCUUCAUCUUUGUCUUUGUCUGUGUCUUCUACUGGUGAGCCUUCCUCAUCCUCAUCAUCCUCAUCUUCAUCCUCAUCUUCAUCCUCAUCUUCAUCUUCAUCUUUGUCUGCGUCUUCUACUGGUGAGCCUUCCUCAUCCUCAUCACCCUCAUCUUCAUCCUGACCUUCAUCUUCAUCUUCAUCUUCAUCCUCAUCUUCAUCCUGACCUUCAUGCUCAUCUUCAUCUUUGUGUUAAUCUGCGUCUUCUACUGGUGAGCCUUCGUCACCUUCAUCCUCAUCUUCAUCCUCGUCUUCAUCCUCAUCUUCAUCCUCAUCUUCAUCCUCAUCUUCAUCUGUAUCUUCAUCUUUGUCUUUAUCUGCGUCUUCUACUGGUGAGCCUUCAUCUUCAUCCUCCUCUUCAUCACCCUCAUCUUCAUCUUUAUCUUCAUCCUCAUCUUCAUCCUCAUCCUCAUCCUCAUCCUCAUCCUCAUUCUCAUCAUCACCCUCAUCUUCAUCUUUGUGUUUAUCUGUGUCUUCUACUGGUGAGCCUUCAUCCUCAUCCUCAUCUUUCAACCUCAUCUUCAUCCUCAUCUUCAUCUUUGUGUUUAUCUGUGUCUUCUACUGGUGAGCCUUCAUCACCUUCAUCCUCAUCUUCAUCAUUUUCCUCUUCAUCCUGAUCUUCAUCUCCGUCUUUCUCUUCAUCAUCUUCAUCCCAAACCCCCAAAAAUCCCCUCCCCCACACUGACCUCUGAC